rnacentral:rRNA from 1 species
GGAUACGGGUUGUGAGAGCACUAGCCCGGAGAUGAUAUCUGAGACACGAUAUCAGGCCCUACGGGGCGCAGCAGGCGCGAAAACUUCGCACUGUGCGAAAGCACGACGAGGGAAUCCCAAGUGCUAGCUCGUAAGAGUUAGCCGUUUUUCUGUCUAAAAAACAGAGAGAGUAAGGGCUGGGUAAGACGGGUGCCAGCCGCCGCGGUAAUACCUGCAGCCCAAGUGGUGGCCGCUAUUAUUGGGCCUAAAACGUCCGUAGCCGGUUCUAUAAAUGCCUGGGUAAAUCGUACGGCUUAACCGUACGAAUUCCGGGUAGACUGUUCAACUUGGGACCGGGAGAGGCUAGAGGUACUCCUGGGGUAGAGGUGAAAUUCUGUAAUCCUAGGGGGACCACCAGUGGCGAAGGCGUCUAGCUAGAACGGGUCUGACGGUGAGGGACGAAGCCCUGGGGCGCAAACGGGAUUAGAUACCCCGGUAGUCCAGGGUGUAAACGCUGCUCGCUUGAUGUUAGUCGGGCUCCGAGCCCGACUAGUGUCGGAGAGAAGUUGUUAAGCGAGCUGCCUGGGGAGUACGGUCGCAAGACUGAAACU